rnacentral:rRNA from 1 species
CAAACGACUCUCGGCAACGGAUAUCUCGGCUCACGCAUCGAUGAAGAACGUAGCAAAAUGCGAUACUUGGUGUGAAUUGCAGAAUCCCGUGAACCAUCGAAGUUUUGAAACGCAAGUUGCGCCCGAAGCCACUCGGGUGAGGGCACGUCUGCCUGGGCGUCACGC